AGGGAUGUAGCGCAGCUUGGUAGCGCCUUUGUUUUGGGUACCCAAUUUCAUGGGUUCAAAUCCCCUUGGACAGA
rnacentral:tRNA from 2 species